UCUUGAAAGUCUUAUGCCUUUGAGUCCUCCAUGCAUUCCUAAUUUAACUGUUAUUUCAUUUAUUCAUUUUUUUGAAAACAGGCGUAGCUAGCCUGGGAAGGCUGACAGAUUUUGAGAUCCAACAAUGAAAGGGAGCAGUUAGAAAAAUGCCGAUUCUCCUUAUGGCUUUUGUUUGCUUAAUUAGCAUUUCUCCAUUUUGCACUAACCACUAAAGGUCCCAUAAAGACAUCUGGAAAUUAAAUCCUAAUUCAUCAGGAAAUGCCUUAUUCUGGAGUUAAAUGAUAGUUCUCUAACACAGUAAAUUCUUCUGCUGUCUUGUACUUCUCCUUUUAUCUCUUUGUAGGGAUGUACAGCCUGCAUUUGAGUUGUGCUUUAUUGUUUUACAUUGUUCCCUGGGCAACUCCAAUUCUUAAUAUUGACCUCCCAAUGUUAGAGUUUUACCUCACCCUCUUUCUUGAUAAGUGUAGCCUGGUAACAUUCUUGAAAAAUAGAGGCGGUAACUAAGAUCAAGUACCUUGGCAAAAAAUGUUCCACUGCAUGAAAUAGAUGCUGUAUAUUGUCUGUAUUAGUAGACACCUCUCACUCUUAGAUUAAUGACCAGCUCUGAUAAAGGCAUGAACCCAUCUAUUACACUCAUGACACCCUCCAACAAACUUUUCAGUUAUAAAAUAUUUGGGGUUUUUCUGUUCUGUUUCUCAGGUCCCACGCUCACACUGCAAUGCAUAGCGUCCCUCUUCCUUAAUUCUCCUCAGAAACUGAAGUCACGUGCCAUACAGUUUGACUUGUGUUCCCAAAUACAUGUAAUAUUUGCCAAUGCCACAGUCCUACACCCCUCCCACUGUCAGUUACACCAUCUCUUGCCGUGAACUCUCCCAAUGUGCAAAACGUAAAGCAUUUUGAGUGAAUUUAUCUCAGUCAAAUGAAGGUGUGUUUAGCGGAAUGCCAGACCAGCAGAGCACUGCUGCGUUCACUCUUUAUCUUUCUUGCUAUUGCUCUCUCUUUCCAUGUGUUAUCUGUUGUUGCAGGUUAUUGCUGAAUUGCACAGUUCUUCCUGCACUCAUUUCUGGAUUACAGAUUAACAUCAGACAAAAAAUUUAAAAAAGAAAGAAACAAGAAGCAAUCUUCUACAUCAUUUCUUCUCCCUCAGGCUCCGGAGAAAGUUUAAUCCACACAGGCUUGUUUUCCGUGCCUCUUAAUGCUGCUGUGACCUUCCUUAGCACUGAGCUUUGUCCUACCGAGCUUUCUAAAUCUCCUUUUUCUGCUUCCACUCUCAAAUAGUGCCCAUCUUUUGUUCACCAGUUUGCCCUCUAACUUCUACAUCUUGAGAAACACUUCUUGCAGGAAAAAAAAAAAAAAGUCAUCUUGUUUGAAAACAUCAUCCAUUGUAAUGUGUGAUUUUUAACAUUUCAGCUGUUUUCUUUUAAAAUCAACUUCCUCUUGUCAUAGCAAUUGCGUAUUCCCUGCUGACUGGAGACCCUGAUUAUUUUUUUUUUGUAGCAACAGGCCAUUGCAGUACUGUCAUUUAAACAGGUCUGGUGUUACAGUAGCGAAGAAUACACUAAAAAUGCGUCCACGGGUUAUGUGUUUGUUGCGUUCUCAGCCUUGUUUCCCCAAUUCUUCUACCCCUUUUUCCUUUAAUAAAAGGUGAACUCUUGCAGAACUGGAGCAUACCAGACUGUGCCACAGGGGCAAGUUCCUACACAUCAAAGCAAAUCGUAAGACAGGAGAAAGGGCUAAGAGAGGCAAACUUGCAUUUUUCCUUGACACCUCCCUAUUUAUGCUUGGUGGCUGCUGUUGCUGACAGUGUAGAUCUCCAGUAGUAAGCUAAAACCAUUUGAUGUCACUGAAGAGAUAGGAGCUGUAGCCAGACCUAGCUCUUCUUAGGGGUGCCAGCACCCUGCAUCUGCAGCACCACUUCAAACUCCAGCCGUGUUGCUAGCUGCUGUGGGCUUGCAUGACUCAAAGAAACAACCCACAUAGUCAGGAUCAUGUCAUAAGUAAAACAGUCAACCACCUAUUGUAGCUUCUAAGGGAAACUUACUCAGGGUAACAGUCUACAUUGACAUCACUGGGAAUUUUCUUACUUUCCAAAGGAAUUGGGCUCUCAAAUUGCUCAGCUUUAAGGUAUGCUGGUAAUUGUUUUGCCUUCAUCCUGUCCAAGAGUCUUUUAGGUCCAAUCUGUCUCUUACAAUACAAGAAUUCCAGGAAGGCAGGGAGGGGAGAAAAGCUACCAUACUCACUGUGUCCGGUUUAUUUUUAACAGAGAUUUCCUUGGAUGAGUGCUCCCAUUCAAGUUGGAUUAGUCGGAUUCUGUCUUGUGUUUGCAACACCCCUGUGUUGUGCGCUGUUUCCUCAAAAAAGUUCUAUGUCCGUAACACGCUUGGAGCCAGAAUUGCAAGCCAAGAUCCGAGAGAACAGCCCUGAACUAGAACGUGUAUACUUUAAUAAAGGAUUAUAAUUCAAGGAAGGGAAAAUAUCUUUCAAGGAGGAUCUUGUGAACUUAUUUUUGAAUUAUGUGCCAACAUAGUUGAAGAUGAAAACUCAACUUUUAACUUGUCCUUUUGUUAAACAACUUUGAUCUUCUGCAUUAUUUUAUAUUUAAAGACUUUCCUUGUUGUAGUGUUUAAGUUACAAAAGGUCAUUUUGUCCACUUUGGUAUCAAUUAAAAGUUUAACCAUACAUAUCCAAAAAUGUUUACAUAAGCUCUCAAGCAGCUACAAUAACAAUAAACAAGCACACAAAGAAAAAUAGAUGUUAUCAUAUUGGAUUUGCCACCUGUUCCAGUAA